rnacentral:misc_RNA from 1 species
UACGUAGGUGGCAAGCGUUGUCCGGAAUUAUUGGGCGUAAAGCGCUCGCAGGCGGUCCUUUAAGUCUGAUGUGAAAUCUCGCGGCUCAACCGCGAAAGGUCAUUGGAAACUGGGGGACUUGAGUACAGAAGAGGAGAGUGGAAUUCCACGUGUAGCGGUGAAAUGCGUAGAGAUGUGGAGGAACACCAGUGGCGAAGGCGACUCUCUGGUCUGUAACUGACGCUGAGGAGCGAAAGCGUGGGGAGCGAACAGG